UCCUAUAGACACCCCUUUAAUCCGUCAAUCACAGACGUAACUCGAUUUUACAAAAUAGUCAAGAGUAUUCAAACCCACUUCAUUUAAAAAUCUCGAUUCACCAGUACAACACUGACUUCAGCAACGAUUGCCUCAGUCUUCCCAAAAUUCUACGAAGAAGAAAAAUCCAAAUUCUAUGUCUUUCCUUCCCCGACCCGAAGCAUGAAGCUCCUCUCUCUAAUUUCCUUGAUCUUCCAAAAACCUCCAAUGAAAAACCGAACUGGUAACCUUGCAAAAGCUUGAAAACUCGCUCCCCCCCUCCAAUUUCCCCGAAAAAAAACCUCCUCCUUUCAAAACUAUAUCCCUCCCUAACCUUAUCCUCUGAAUUUCUUCAAUCUUCCGUCUUAGAUCCGGAUUUGGCUCCUACCUCAAGCUUGGAUCCAAAAUUGGCUCUCACCGUCAAGCUUUCUCCUCCAUUUUUACCUUUAAAAAAUCCAUUUACCGAAAAUAACGUUCCCUGAAACGGCACAGAGAACAGGACAACCUGAAACAGAAUCGAAUCCCGUAAUGAGGACCACAUUGAGUCGCCCGACCAAUUCAGGUCCUAUAUUGGGAAAGAUGCCCGUAGUAACCUGGAUGUUCCCGUAAUUGGGUCAAAUUGGUCCUCAUGUCAGAUUGGCUAAGACCCGUUAUAAGACCUGGAUUUCCCGUAAUUAGACUGCAUUGGGUUGACCGGCCAAUUCAGGUCUCAUAUUGGAUAAGAGGACCCGGAUUGGAUUAUCGAAAUUGGAUCCAAUUGGCUCCUCAAACCCGUCGUGUGAAUUGGACCUUCUCUUCCUACUGACUCCCGUUAUUGGAAUCGAAUGGAGCAUUUGAGUAUGCCCCGGCUGACUGUAACGGAGUGACUGAACCUGACCACUCAGUAUUUGCACUGGAGUUGGUUGAUGCUCCCAAUAUUCGAGGUAACUGAAUAUUAAUAAAAUUCCCCUUUCUUUAUAUUUUCACUGUAUACUCGUGUUACAACACGACAUCCACCCCCUCUGAACCUGUGCAUCCUCCGGUAUGCACCAAUUUAUCCAAUUGCUGUUUGAUUCAGAAUAUAUCCCUAUGUCUUUGUCCAGUUUGUCUUCGUCACCUUCAUUAUCCAUAUCACUUUCAUCUUCUUGCUACGGAAUCUCUGUACCUUCAUUAAGGUCUUCUAUAUUCAUCUCCACGUGUCUUCGUUUAAAUAUUUUUACUCGCUUCCCUGCAAUUGGUAUUUUCAAUUUUGUACUAUCUAACUUUCUUAAUGAGUAAGUCGCAUUAUCAUGAAUAGUUGUUAUAACAUAUGGUCCAAACCAACGUUUUGAAAAUUUCCGCAAAGUACUAUGUUGAUUAUCCAGACUAUUGUCAUAAACAAGUACCAAGUCACCUUCCUCGAUUGCUUUUGGUCUCAAUCGAUGUUGCUUAUCGAAUCACGCCUUGUUUUGUAACCUUGCUCUUUUUAACCUUUCCAAUGCUAUCUGGACAUCUUCCGUUCUUUGCUCCAAUUGUCGAAUCCUAAUAGCCAGAAGUUCUUCUCUUGUCAAUCCAUCUUCCCAUGGUAGCAUACUCCAAGUAAGUACCUUUUCUUCAAUCGGAAUAAUUGGUUUUUGACCUUUCAUAAGUUCUACUGGCAUAUAUCCUGUCACCAAACUAUGUGUUGUUCGAUCAGCCCAUAAUGCAAAUGACAAAAGCCGUGGCCACUCUUUAACUUUCCCAUUACAAGCUUUAACUAAUGCUUUCACAAUCGGUGGGUGACCGCGUUUGCUUUUUGCAUUCCCUUUUGGAUUAUAAGCAGUAGUGAGUGAUAGUUUAACUCCACAUCUUUCAAAGAACUUACGAGCUUCUUGUGCAUUUAAUUCUCCACGAUCUGUAGUGGUUUUUCCUACGCAUCCGUAGCGGCAAAUGACAUCUUCAAGCAAAAACCUACAAAUCCCCUCUGUAGAUUUUGUCCUCAAUGCUCUUCUUUCUACUAGAUUUGAUAAAUCUUCACGAGCUAAAACCAAAUAUCUCAUCUGCCAUAACCCAACCGGCAUAAUAAUCAAAUCAACAACCCAUUUAAAAUGAAUAGCCAGAGGAUACGUAGGAUGAAGACCACCUCGAUGUUGGAUAUUAGAAUACGAUUGACAGAUUUCACAUGACUCUACAAAUGAGAUCACAUCUCGAUACAUAUUUUUCCACCAAUAUCGUUCCUUGAGUUUAGCAAAAGUAGCCCAGAUAUCUCUAUGCCUUGUCCAUAAACUAUCAUGAAACUCCUUUAAUAAUUUUAGUNNNNNNNNNNNNNNNNNNNNNNNNNNNNNNNNNNNNNNNNNNNNNNNNNNNNNNNNNNNNNNNNNNNNNNNNNNNNNNNNNNNNNNNNNNNNNNNNNNNNCAAAUAAUGACCAAUAUCCAAUAAUUCUCUUUCAUAAGAUUCUUCAAGAAAUAGCUUAUCUUCUCUGUUGAGAUUCGAUGUUGAAUAGAAUUUCAAUCCGACAUCAUCAAUGUCUUCAACCAUUUUGUCCUCCCUCUCGUAUCUUGCUCCUGAUAGCAUGUUUGCUAUUAAAUUGUCCUUUCCAGUGAUAUGCUUAAAUUCUGGAUUUAGUGACUUAAUAUAAGCAAUCCAUCUCAACAUUGCAAUAUCUGGCGUUGAACAGUUAAUAAUCAUUCCAAGCAAUGGCAAGCAAUCUGUUUCAAUUACUACUACUGCCCCAAUCAAAUAGUCCUUUUCAGCUUUCAUAGCCGAAACGACUCCCCAAAGUUCUCUUUUGACUUGCGAAUAUGCACGCUGACGAAUACUUAAAACUUUAGCCCCAAAUUGAAUUGCAAAUCUACUCCCAUUUGAAUCAUCUUGAUCCACAGUCCAUCCAAUGGCAAUUGGACUAGCGUCCACAGUAAGAAUCACUAGUCUAUUGCACUUAUAAUCAACCUUCCUCAAUAUUGGAGGUGACAUCAAUAAUUUCUUCAAUCUUUGCAUUGCAUGAUUAUGCCUUUCUUUCCAUUCAAAUCGGUAACCCUUGCGUAACAGUUCAUAUAAUGGAUCCGCUAUGUGAGCAAAAUGAGGGAUCCAGAUUCGAUAAAAUACACAUGCACCCAAAAACCUGCGAACCUUUGUUAAAGAAUCUUAAUCCUCUUUCAUCCUUCCAAUUGCAUCAACUUUAGUCGGAUCUGGUUUUCUUCCAUAAGAUCCGCAUAAAUGUCCAAGAAUUACAACCUCUUGCACUCCAAAUACGGACUUCAUACCCGAUAAUGUAAGAUGAACUUCUCCAAGCCGAGUUAAAAUCUUUUCACAAUCUUGUAUAUGAUCAACAACAUAUCUGCGACACCCCCUCGUAUCUAAAGUUUCAUCCUUGUCUCCUUCUUUGCACCCUUUUAUAGGAACAUCAUCCAGAAAAGGCAUAGUCUUUUCCGGAAUAAAAUCUCUCAAUACCUUAUUCAUCCCAUUCAUCAUAUGCGCAACCGAGUUGGUCGCGCCUUGAAGAAGAGUGCACAUUCUAACCAAUCCAAGCGGUGUCCUCAUCGUUGUCAUAUCUCUACUUCUUUCGGCAAGUUGAAAUUGAUCAUAACCUGAAUACAAAUCACACAUUGAGUAGAUCGCCCUUCCAGCAAACGCCUCAGCAAAUUCAUCCACAACAGGUCCAAUUCCUGCAUUCCUGAGAGUUACAGCAUUCACCGGCUGCAUAUCUUGAAUAAACCGUAGUGACCCAUUCUUCUUAAGUACCGUAAACCAUCGACUAGAAUACGGCGCAAAUAAAGGUUCUAAUAUUUUCAUCUUUAUCUUUUCUUUCAAUAGUUCGACCAAUUUAGGUAAAUGUGCCCUCGGUACUCGAAUCGGUCUUAGAUUCCAAGGUACAUGCGGUACAGUGAAGAUAACCAUAGGUGUUAUAAUAUUUGGAUCCACACACCCAAUUUCAUGAGAUUCGAAGGCAAACGAUCUACCUUGUUUAGCCAACAUCUUUUUGAAGCAAGUAAUUUCCUCCGGCAAUAAAGAACCAUCAGAACCAAUCUUCAAUUCUUCAAAAGUCUCUUCAGUAAACUGAUGUCCAAUACUCAUUGGAUCUCUUAAACUUGCUUCUUUUGAUGCUUCUCCCAUUUGUUCUUUAGAAUCCUCUGGUAAUGGUCCGACAACAGGCUUUACCUUCUUAUCUGCCGUUUUAUAUCUCGUCUCUACAGUGACUUCUGGUGCUUGAAAAGAUUCAAGCAUGGUAUAAACCUCUCUUGAAUGAAUCUCAACAAUCUUAUCAUUAUCCCCUAACCCAAUAGAUGUAAUCAAUUCCAAUGAAUCUUCCAGCCCAUUUUCUUCAUAAACACCCAAAAUCCUCCCAUCAUCUUGCAAUGUACCUAUCUUGCGUAACUGUCCUUCAAUAUCAUAUAAUCUUUUUCUUUCUUUUCUUUUAAAAUCAUCAACUUUCUUAUACAUAAUAUUUCCAUUCUCCAAUAUACCAAUAAAACUCGCAUCAAAGGCACCUUCAUCUCGCGAGAGUACCUCCUCUUUUGUACCUCCAUAAUCUCGCUUUAUAGUAGUACCUCCCCAAAAUCCUUAAAUCCUUCAACAAUCUUUGGCAAUGGUUUCUCCUUCAACCUAUCCCGAUUCCGUUCAUGGUUAAGAGAUACUAUUAGAAAUUGUACAGCUUUCCUUCCAUCUUCGCUCUUUACCCUUGCAUAAGCAGAACCAUCGUCAAGUACCUUUGUUUCCAUCCGUAUUGCCGUGAUAUAAGGUUGUCCUAAAAUCAACGGAUAAGACGUUUUAUCUUGAACGAAGAAAUAUUGCUCCGUCGCAACAUCCCCAAUCCAAAUUUUGACAUCUAGACAAGCUCCAUAGAAUUUGCCUCGUGUGUUAUUAGGUGCUCGUAAUUCCCAUCCAUGUUCUAUAUCAAUUGGCCAUUUUUGCUUCUUAUAAAGAUCUUUAGACAUGAGAUUUAUUUCAGAACCAUGGUCCACCAAGGCAACUAUUGGUUCAUCUAUAUCUCCUACCUUCACCAAUACCUCAGUAGUUGCCCUUGCCCAAUGCUUUCGAAUAUAAUGGCUCAAAGUUUCCAUUUCCUUGUCACUAAAAUCUUCGAAAUGUACUGGCUGAUUAUACCCAUUCUUUUCAUUUGUUGGUUGCUUGUAACCAAUAUCAACCUCUUCUUCAUCUCUACAUAUUCUUGCAUCAAUAGUAUGACUCAUUCCAGUUUCGCUCAUUAAUUGCCUCUUUCGCUUGAUGUUUUCAAUGAUAACAUCAUAAAACUCCUUCUUUGCAAUUCCCAAAACUUCUUUUAAUGUGAAUUCCACUUUAGCGUUUAAUAUACGUUCUUUCAACACCCCUUUCAAAUUUGUUGCCGCUUCAAUAUCAGAAAGUAGCUUAUAAGCAAUUGAUUUGCCCUUAUCUUUUGUCUCCGUUGUUUUUUCUCCCAAUGAUGCUGAGAUAUCCUUUACAGGCAAUUCUUGUGAAGCUGCCUCUCGAGCCUUGUUUCCUCGAGUUUGCCUCUUAGAAGAAUUUCCUUCUCUAGUAUCAUCAAAAUUUCCUCGUCUUUUUUCUUCCAUCAAAGCUUCAUGUUGGCUCUUAGCAAUAUAUGCAUGAACUGAAAGAGACUCAACAGGAUCCUCCCAACCUGUUCUUCCUCGUAUUAUAGCUGCAGUUCUCAAUAACGCUUCUCGAGGUAAUUUCCCUUCUUGCAUUGUAGAAACGGCAGAAGUCCAAAACUCACUAGUUUCCGUACUUCGACCAAUUUCAUCAUCUACUCUAGCACCAUAACUUGCACUUUCUCGUACUACUGUUUCAUGCUCUUUUAAGUAAUCUUGAACCAAUGCUCUCAUUCCUCCUUUGCCAAAAUUGGUUUGAAGAAGAUCCUCCCUAUCUUUUAAUGCUAUCUUCCCAUCUUUCCAGGAAAUAAUUCCUUGCCGUAUCAUAUUAUUAAAUUCAUUGCAAUCUUUUCUAGUGUGUGAAGCAUCAUCACACCAAAUGCAUCUUUGAACAUAUCCUUGUUUUGAAACAUUCUUCGAAUUGUUUAUAGAAGUAUUCUCUUCAAGUCUUGUGAAUUUGAUUUGAAGAUCUCGCAUUCCUCGUAUAAUUUCUUCUAUCCCCAUAUCUGCUUUCUUUGAUAAGGAUGACGAAGGUUGAACUGUAGGCAUUGUUGGUGGUAUUGUACGUACUGGAGCUUUGGGUGCUUGUACUGUUUUCUGAAUAUUGCUCCUAUCCUUCCUCCUUUCUUUUUUUGUAAGCAACCCCACCGCAUCUUCAACGUUCUUCCACUUCGUUGUCAAUCCUUCAUCUUCUUCUUUGUCUUCAAGAAGGGGUUCUAAUUUCUCUUGCAAUUCUCCAUCAGCAGCUUGAAGAAAUAGAUCAACUUUGUUCGGCUCCAAUGUCAAUUUUUCUACCUUCGAUAAUUGAGAGUACUGCCUCUCAAAUUCCCUUAGUAGCUCUGUUGCUUGCAAAUUCUUAUUGGGCCGUUCAAUCUAUUCCAGAAACAGCUUCUUAGUAACGCGAUCAGCAUCUUCCAAGAAAUAUUUGUCUUUCAAUGCAUGUGAAAAAUCCUCCCAUGAAUUCCCACAACGAUCCGUAAUCGAUGUAAUGUGGUCCCUUAUCUCCGGUAUUGUGGCAAGUCCAAAUAGUGCAACCAUUUUCUUCUCAGAAACCUGAUUUAAUUCCAUUUUACAAACAUAACAUCUUAAAUACCUUGAAAUAUUCCUCCCAUCAAAUUGAUCAAUUUUACUGACCACUGCUUGCAAUGCUUUGGUUGCCAAAGCUUCCUUUCGAUCAUUGCUUUGCUGUUGCUGCAUUGACAAUGGGAAGGCUUGAAACAAACUAGCAAUAGACGGAUCCAUGUGCAUACCUUGUCCUGUAGAAGAUUCCCCACCAGAAACUUCUCCCAAAAAUCCUUCAAAAUUUUUAUUUUUGUUUUCCAUAAAAAUAAAGAUAAAAUCAACCGAAAUCCAAUACCUUCAACCUCAAGCUUUCACGUCGGGUUCACCACUUAUGUCGUAUUACAUGCUUUCCUGCUCGAGAACGUGCCGGGCGUCUAGCUGUAGAAGGUAGUAUGGAGAUUUGCCGAUAGUCAAGCAGUCUAUCAGUUUUUGACUGCUGGAAUAUAAACGACUGCAACAAUGUACCGUAAAUCUAUACGGAUGCUCUUCGACUGCUUGUCAAAGUCUUUUUUUUAUUUUUUUAUUUAUUUAUUUAUUUUUUUUUUUUUUCCAGCCGAUAGGUCUUUAGACGUUACAGAGAACUCCGAACAACCCAAACUGUUAAUCUUCAAUACCCCUUUGUACUUACGAUCUUGUAUCCACUGACUGUCCUAUUAGAUUAACCCAAUAAAUUUCAUUCACUCCGCAUACUCAAUCCUAUAGACACCCCUUUAAUCCUUCAAUCACAAACGUAACUCGAUUUUACAAAACAGUCAAGAGUAUUCAAACCCACUUCAUUUAAAAAUCUCGAUUCACCAUUACAACACUGACUUCAGCAGCAAUUGCCUCAGUCUUCCCAAAACUCUACGAAGAAGAAAAAUCCAAAUUCUAUGUCUUUCCUUCCCCGACCCGAAGCAUGAAGCUCCUCUCUCUAAUUUCCUUGAUCUUCCAAAAACCUCCAAUGAAAAACCGAACUGGUAACCUUGCAAAAGCUUAAAAACUCGCUCCCCCCCCC
rnacentral:lncRNA from 1 species